rnacentral:tRNA from 1 species
UCUGAUAGCUUAGUUGGUAAAGAAUCUGCCUGCAGUGCAGGAGACCCAGGUUUGAUUCCUGGGUUGGAA